rnacentral:lncRNA from 1 species
GAAAGCGUGGUUUGCAGAAAAGUCUGAGGUUAGAAGGAUCUGCCCCCUGGGUGCUGUGGCAAUGCACAAUGUCUUGGUGUCUGGGUCAGUGACAGUAAUGGAAGGAGAGUUCCAAUACCCACAGAGACAGUGGAAAAACCACUGAAAGAAGAAAUCUGCCUGCUGUUGUGUCUGUUGGGAGGAUCUUUGGUGCUAAGUGUAUAGGUAAACAUUUGGUGCAUUGCUUUCUCUUUCUUGUCACAACUCUUCAAUUUGAAAUCUGCAUAUUUGAAAUCCUUAUUUUGAAAUUCUCGGCUUUAUUAUUUUCAAAAAAUUGUGUCAGAGAAAUAAAAUGCGCAAAAGAAAAGUUAGGACUUUCAUUAGCUGUUGUUUGUUUCCUUUUACUCACAAUAUAUCAGAUAUUUGAGGCCUUACCUCUCUUCUUGACUGCUCCAUUGCUUCACUUAAGAGUGGACCACAGUCUCAGGAAAAGGGGCAAAAGGAAACACUCCAAAACAGAGCCAACAAAAUAAGAAUGCAGUUCUGAAUUGCAGCUUUAGUGAAGUGUUUACUCUCAAACCAGAAAAUUUUCACGUGAAUAUUCACAUUGUUCAAGCUUCACAUUAUCUUCUUUGAUGGUCCACUCCUUGAGACUGACUGCUGUUGUAUGGCCUGGUUCCUUCACCUCUUUAAAUCCUUUUGUGAGUGCAGAAGCAAAGAUUAAGAACUCUCCUCUCUGCAGGGGAGGAAGAGAAGUCCAGACUUUUAAAACCAUCUGAGAAGUAAAACUGUAUAAAUAACCACUGACUUGUAAGGGGAAAAAAAAAUCCAUCUCUACAUGAAAAGUCUGAGAUAAGAGGUUGUGCUUGUGGCCUAAUGACAACGGGAAUAUUGCCAUUACUCCAAUGAAUUACUGAUUUACCACGUGGAAAACCGAGAGCAGGGGACAGAAACAGAAGGUGGGAUUCACAGGUGGAGGCACAAUGAUUCCCAGGAGUUACUUCUGGAGCCGAAAUCACUACACCCACUUCAUCUAGGUGAGCCAGCAUGGUAGCAUGACCACUUGAGCAGAAAGAGCUGAGCUGUGCAGGCAAAACACCUUUGAUGGUCUGAAAUUGUGUCUCUGCUCUCUUUGAAAUGCAUUGUGGACCUUCCUGUUCACUCCCUUCUCUGCUGGGGAGCACAGUGCUACCCCAGCACGGUCCAAUGCUAUCCCAUUGUUGGUUAUUUUUUUGUUUAUUUUUUUCCAGCAGAAGUACUUUG